UUUCCUGGGAGCUGAUUUCCCAACAGAGUCUUGUUGGAUCACUCCUAAACAUUCAUUCCAGGCAACACAGCUUGCAGUGCCUCUGCUUCACAGCACAGUUUAUUGCUGAAGCUGCUUUCUGCCUCUGUGAGCCACUGGGCUGGUGGCUCUGCAUCUGCUCAUGAGCUUGUCAAGCCUCCCACCAGCCCAAAACCUUUCUUUUUUGUUUCUUUAGAUGACAAUGAUGCCGAGUCUGGGAAGCAAGAAUCCGAUGAGCCAGACACGACGGACAGCGAGGAGAAGUAUGAAGAUGAGGUCCUACAAGAAUCUGAGGCUGACGGGAAAUACUUCUGCACCAAAGACAAAGUUCAUGUUCAGCAAAGGAAGAGAAAAAGAGGACAGGAUCCCUGGAUGAAAGGAUCUAAGAAGUCAAUGAGAGGAAAAAAGAAAAUCAAAGUGGAGCAAUGCCCAGUGGGGAUCACAAAGGAACUGGAGAAUUGCUCAGCUUCCCAUACUGAUCCCUCCAAUGAGAGUUAACAGCAGGGCAGGAUGGAGCAACUACAGACCAAAGGAGAGGGCUCAGAGACCUCAGAAUCCCACCCAUGCUGGGAGAGCAGGCAGUGGGGAAUUCAUAAGGACUCGUUUAUGAGCAGAGCACCCUGAAACUCCUCACUCAGCUACAGGAGAGGCUGGGCAAGGAUGAGCCGUGCAGGUGCCACCUGGAGCAGCCAGGUCACUGCUGG
rnacentral:lncRNA from 1 species